rnacentral:misc_RNA from 1 species
GUGGCGGACGCAAGGGCACACCCGAGGUUGCUAUAAAACAUUUAUAGAGAAAGAAGUUAUUAUAUUUAGAGUAUUGACAAUAGAGUGAUGAAUUAAUUCGUCUUCGCUGGAUGUUUCACGUUUAUCCUGGUUAUCACGUUUGCUUCGUACGUGAAGCGAGUCGUUGGAAUAUUCGCGAAGUUAACAAAACAUUUUUCGGAAAUAAAACCGGUGAAGAGGUGAAUACUUAAGUGGAAUUUUCACAUUAACUUCGUGACCAUAAACUUCGUGACCAUUAACUUCGUGACCAUUAGCUUCGUGACCAUUUCG